UGUUACUUUGGCAGAUUAGUGCAAUUGAUUUAGAAUCUUUAUAUGUAUUUUAUACAGGUAAUAA
rnacentral:tRNA from 1 species